rnacentral:rRNA from 1 species
GACAUGAGCUUCGAGACCUCUUCUCCUCCAACCUCCUCCCCGCGGAGUGUUCUGUCCCGACGGGGUGAUAAUAAAAGGCCAGUGCCGUGACUUGCAUGCCUGCAUGCAGGUGGUCUAUUGCGCGCAAGAAAACCAACCAGCAGGGCUCGAUCUAGUAACGGUGAGUGAAGCGGCAACAGCUCAAAUUAGAAAUUUGGUCCUUGGGGGCCUGAGUUGUAAUUUGCAGAGGAUGUUUUUGGCGCGGUGCCUUCCGAGUGCCCUGGAACGGGACGCCACAGAGGGUGAGAGCCCCGUAUGGUUGGACACCAAGCCUAUGUAAAGCUCCUUCGACGAGUCGAGUAGUUUGGGAAUGCUGCUCAAAAUGGGAGGUAAACCCCUUCUAAAGCUAAAUACUGGCCAGAGACCGAUAGCGCACAAGUAGAGUGAUCGAAAGAUGAAAAGCACUUUGAAAAGAGAGUUAAAAAGCACGUGAAAUUGUUGAAAGGGAAGCGUUUGCGACCAGACUUGCGCCCGUCGAAUCAGCCGUCCCUCGUGGGCGGUGCACUUCGGCGGGCUCAGGCCAGCAUCAGUUUACUGCAGGGGGAGAAAGGCGCUGGGAAUGUGGCUCCUCGGAGUGUUAUAGCCCGGCGCGUAAUACCCCUCGGUGGACUGAGGACCGCGCGAAAGCAAGGAUGCUGGCGUAAUGGUCGUCAGCGACCCGUCUUGAAACACGGACCAAGGAGUCGUCCUAAUAUGCGAGUGUUUGGGUGUCAAACCCCAGCGCGUAAUGAAAGUGAACGGAGGUGAGAGCUUCGGCGCAUCAUCGACCGAUCCUGAUGUUCUCGGAUGGAUUUGA